rnacentral:rRNA from 1 species
CAUCGGGACCUCUUCGAGAGGCUCCGGUGCUGAAGGGAAGCCGGAGAGUGUGCUACCUGGGAAGUAUAGUCGCAAGGCCGAAACUUAAAGGAAUUGGCGGGGAGACACUACAACGGGUGACGCGUGCGGUUUAAUUUAAUUAUACACAGAGAAUCUCACCAGGAGCGACAGCAGAAUGAAGGUCAGUCUGAAGGGCUUACCUGACACGCUGAGAGGAGUUGCAUGUCCGACGUCAGCCUGUGCCGUGAGGUGACCUGUUAAAUCAGGUAACAGGCGAGACCCACAUGUAUAUUUAUUUUUAUAUACAGAUUGCCUUGGUAACAAGGAUGAAAGUGUGGGCAACGUUAGGUCCAUAUAGCCCGAAUCCCCUGGGCAACACGCGCGCGUCAACGGUGAAUACAACGGGACGCAACUCCGAAAGGAGAAGCUAAUCUCUUAAAGUUCAUCUCAGUCUAGAUCGAGGUCUGUAACCCGGCCUCGUGACAAUGGAAUCCGUAGUAAUCGUUUGUCAUCAACGAACGGUGAAUAUGUCACUGUCUCUUGCACACACUGCCCGUCAAACCAACCGAGUUUAUUUAUGGUGAAACUUUUCGAAGGAGAACUUUGGGUAGACAAGGUAGGUUAAGUCGUAACAAGGUAGCC